GACGAACGCUGGCGGCGCGCCUAACACAUGCAAGUCGAGCGAAGCGGCGAACGGGUGAGUCACGCGCGAGGAACCUGCCUCUCACAACGGGAUAGCCUCGGGAAACCGGGAUGAAUACCGUAUGGUGAGCGAUGGCCUCGCGUCUGAUUUGUUGGUUGGUGGGGUAACGGCCUACCAAGACGACGAUCAGUAACCGGCCUGGGAGCGUGAACGGUCACAUGGGAACUGAGACAGGAUGCAGACUGCCAGGGGAGGCAGAAGUGGGGAAUCUUGGACAAUGGGGGGAGCCCAGCAGCAGGGAGGCCGCGUGAUCGAUGAAGGUUCUCGAAACGUAAGGCUCUGUACUCUGGGGAGCGGUACCAUAGGAGGAAGCACCGGGUAACUACGUGCCAGAGGCCGGGGUAAUA
rnacentral:rRNA from 1 species